CCUACGGGAGGCAGCAGUGAGGAAUAUUGGUCAAUGGGCGGGAGCCUGAACCAGCCAAGUAGCGUGAGGGAUGACUGCCCUACGGGUUGUAAACCUCUUUUACACAGGAAUACAGUGCGGCACGUGUGGCGUUUUGCAGGUACCUUAUGAAUAAGGAUCGGCUAAAUCCGUGCCAGCAGCCGCGGUAAUACGGAAGAUCCGAGCGUUAUCCGGAUUUAUUGGGGUUAAAGGGAGCGUAGACUGGUGGUUAAGUCAGUUGGUAAAGUGUGCGGCUCAACCGUAGACUUGCAUUUGAUACUGGCAGUCUUGAGGACAUAAGAGGUAGGCGGAAUGCGUGGUGUAGCGGUGAAAUGCAUAGAUAUCACGAAGAACUCCGAUUGCGAAGGCAGCUUACU
rnacentral:rRNA from 1 species